GAUGAAGAACGUAGCGAAAUGCGAUAAGUAAUGUGAAUUGCAGAAUUCAGUGAAUCAUCGAAUCUUUGAACGCACAUUGCGCCCCUUGGUAUCCCGAGGGGCAUGCCUGUUCGAGCGUCAUUUCACCACUCAAGCCUGGCUUGGUGUUGGGCGACGUCCUCUUUGGGGACGCGCCUCGAAACGCUCGGCGGCGUGGCACCGGCUUUAAGCGUAGCAGAAUCUUUCGCUUUGGAAGUCGGGGCCCCGUCUGCCGGAAGACCUGCUCGCAAGGUUGACCUCGAAUCAGGUAGGACUACCCGCUGAACUUAAGCAUAUCAAUAAGCGGAGGA
rnacentral:misc_RNA from 1 species